rnacentral:rRNA from 1 species
GACGAACGCUGGCGGCGUGCUUAACACAUGCAAGUCGAACGGUGAAGCGCCUUCCUUUUUGGUGGGUGUGGAUGAGUGGCGAACGGGUGAGUAACACGUGAGUAACCUGCCCCCCUUCUUCUGGAUAACCGCAUGAAAGUGUGGCUAAUACGGGAUAUUCUGGGUCUGUCGCAUGAUGGGUCUGGGAAAGAUAUUGUUUCGGUGGGGGAUGGGCUCGCGGCCUAUCAGCUUGUUGGUGGGGUGAUGGCCUACCAAGGCGGUGACGGGUAGCCGGCCUGAGAGGGUGGACGGUCACACUGGGACUGAGACACGGCCCAGACUCCUACGGGAGGCAGCAGUGGGGAAUAUUGCACAAUGGGCGCAAGCCUGAUGCAGCGACGCCGCGUGAGGGAUGGAGGCCUUCGGGUUGUGAACCUCUUUCGCCAGUGAAGCAGGCCUGCCUCGUUUGUGGGUGGGUUGACGGUAGCUGGAUAAGAAGCGCCGGCUAACUACGUG